ensembl:lncRNA
GUGCUGCAAUGCACCAAAUAUUUGCACUUCUAAUAAUUGAAGCUAACAGUAUUCUUAGCAUGUCUUCAAACAUCCACUUUUAAAGGCAUCGCUUCAGUGACGUAUUGCACGCUUCGACCCUUUCUCUUCUGUGCUUUUCAGAAAGCUUUUAAACGGAAAUACAUGAGGCUUUGAUGGCAGUCGCCUCGGUUUGGUCUGAAACCCAGCUGCAAACCUGACAGUGGGUGGAGCAGACUGGAAAACAGGAAGAUGUAAGCAGGUAAGGAAAGAGUGACACAGAUGAUGGGUAGAGUGAGUUAGAGGAAGAAUGAGAGAGAGGCUCACCUUGUGGAAACUACUAAAAUUAUAGAAGAAAAGCAGAGGGAGCGUCACGUCGAGAAUGGGGUUUGUGCAAUACUUUGUGGCUCUUUGGUUGUUGGCUGCACGGUUGGUGUUCACCUUUCCCACGGAAACAGGAGAGAUGGACAGUCAGGGGUGCCUGAUGUGCUCUGCAGGUAAAAAAGUGAUUUUUAUGAAGCGACAUUCACACAUUUAUUUGUUUUAUUUUUUGUUGACAGUUAAGCUUUUCGUGAAAAUGAGUAAUUCCUUUAUUUGAUGUAUGUAAAUAUUGGAAAAAUCCAUGUAGCUGCCUUUUUAUCGCUAUAUCUGGUCUGUUUUUUUUCCUUCCACACCCUGAUGGUAAGUGCAGUUCGUUGUGCUGUUAAGUUUGUGCAGCACUAAGACCACAUCCUUCAUUAUUAUGCACUCUGAGCCUGCAAGCUGUCUUUUUUUCCUGCUGCCAUCCGGUUGUUCACAUUUACCUCUGUGUUGUGGCAGGGACGUUUCAGAAAUCUUGUGCAGAGUGUAAGCCUUGUCCUCUCGGCAGCUACACUUCAACCCAGAACAAUGAGGACAGCUGUCAUCCCUGCUUCAGAGAUUGUUCACCAAGUAAAUCCUGUCUUCACAUCUCAGCUUUUAUGUCUCCGUGCACACAGAUGCAAAUAUCUGAUUUGGUCAUUUUCUUUUGCUCAGCAUCUCACCUGAGAGUGGUGAAAAACUGCACAAGUACUUCUGAUCUGAGGUGUGAAUGUGAGCCUGGCUACAGAUGCACCGAGAGGGUACCGCACUCUGAAAACUGCAGACAAUGUCAAAUAAUAACGGUAGUGACGACUCCAGGUAAAUCGAAGCAGGCGCCUUUCUCUGGUUCCCCCAGCCGCCUCAAACCCUGCCAGUCGCUCAACUGUGGUCUUCCAUCAAUCACAACAGUGCACACCAAAAUCACCACCAUACCAGACAAAGCAAACCCUCAGCUUGCAGCCAUCUUGUCUUCAUCUGUUUUCCUGGGGUUUGUGGCCCUCAUCAUCCUGCUCUGCAUUUAUGGCCCCACAAAUGGAAGAUGCUUGAGGCAGACUAUUACAAAGUUAUGCAAUGAGAAACGGAAAGACAUGUCUCAGCCCCCCAGGGACUCUUACACAGCAAGGCAGCAGCCCCCCUCAGCAGCCAACCUGGGUCCAGUCUAUGUUCACAACCCGGGUACGGUCAUUUUCAGCUUGCUAAACCAGUUCACGGGGCAAGUUGGGCCGACCAUCGGCGGGAAGAGAGCUGAGAGAACAAGCAACGAGGAAGAGGAGGAGAGAAACUGCCCCGUGUUUCACCCCGCAUCGUCACCCGGCAUUCCCUUCUCGGAGGAGGAAAGGAGCAGAGAGGUGGACAACAUAUUCUUUCCCUCCCAGGAGCAGGGAAAGGACUGCCACAUGUCCAAAGAGGAGGCAUUUGCUGGGAAGCCAUGAAUGCUGCUCCAUUCAGACUGGCUAUUAAAAAAAAAUCCCUUGAAGGAGGGACUUCUAAAAGAGGAGAAACAACAACCACAAGUAAGAAAAUAGGAGUUUCAAGGAUCACAGCUGCCAACAACCUGCAGAUUCUGGGAGAAACAACUGCACGAGAUGAACUCUCAUGUUUCUUUUUAAGUUAUAUUUAAAAAUACAUUCCUUGUAAAUAGUCUGUAUUGAUCAUACUUGAAUGUAAGAUUUAAAUAAAAUUAUGGUAUUGAAAAAAAAAAGUGGAGGAAAAUCGUGUACUUUAUUAUGAGAUAAUCCAUUGAGACGUUGAAGUGAAAAAAGUGCAGCAAAAAUUAUUCAUGUGCAUACAUACAUGUCAAUGGUUUAUUCCCUGACCCACUCCUUUUUAUUCUGAAGAAGUCUGUUCCAAACUGGGGCCACAUUCACACACACAUACAUAUAUAUAUAUAUUCUGUAUAAUAUAUACAGAUAUAUUUAAAAAAAACAAUUAAAUAAAUGUACCUCAGUACAUACUCAUUUUUAACACCAGACUGCAUCUGUCGCAGUGUCCUCUGUUGUCCUUGUCUCCCAGAUUUGUAGUCAUUGUAAUACAUUUGGAAACGCAUUCGUCUCUGACCAUUUGAAAGCUUUCGCAAGAUGACCUGGAAUGCCAUCAAUUUUUUCCACAGCAGUUACUGAUGUUUUGCAGGUAUUGCGUGUCACUAUAAUGUCCUUAUGAAUGGAUAUAUGUGCGAUCCGCUCGGCGCUCUAGUCUUUUACACAUAUGUCAAUGCACUGAUCGCAUUUGCCACACACUUCCUGCACGGGCUUGGGCAUGUCCUCGUCUUCUGUUCGCAGAGGUUUUUCAGCAGGAUUGUCAGUCACAUUGUAAACUGUCGAUGAAGAGAAGAAAGAAUUUUGAACGAUUAGUCUGAUGCACAGGGUUACAAUGUUAUCCUUAAACCUAACUUACUCCUUUAUGCAUCUGUU